AGCAGCCGCGGUAAUUCCAGCUCCAAUAGCGUAUAUUAAAGUUGUUGCAGUUAAAAAGCUCGUAGUUGAAUUUCGGGAUUGACACAUCGGUCGUGCCUUAAGGGGUAUGAACUGGUGUAGUCAAUUUCUCACCUUCUGGAGAACCGCGAUGCCCUUAAUUGGGUGUCACGGGGAACCAGGACCUUUACUUUGAAAAAUUAGAGUGUUUAAAGCAGGCAUUUUGCUUGAAUACAUUAGCAUGGAAUAAUAAAAUAGGACGGCAUGAUUCUAUUUUGUUGGUUUCUAGGAUCACCGUAAUGAUUAAUAGGGAUAGUUGGGGGCAUUAGUAUUCAAUUGUCAGAGGUGAAAUUCUUGGAUUUAUUGAAGACUAACUACUGCGAAAGCAUUUGCCAAGGAUGUUUUCAUUAAUCAAGAACGAAAGUUAGGGGAUCGAAGACGAUCAGAUACCGUCGUAGUCUUAACCAUAAACU
rnacentral:rRNA from 1 species